rnacentral:rRNA from 1 species
UACGUAGGUGGCGAGCGUUGUCCGGAUUUACUGGGCGUAAAGGGAGCGUAGGCGGACUUUUAAGUGAGAUGUGAAAUACUCGGGCUCAACUUGAGUGCUGCAUUUCAAACUGGAAGUCUAGAGUGCAGGAGAGGAGAAUGGAAUUCCUAGUGUAGCGGUGAAAUGCGUAGAGAUUAGGAAGAACACCAGUGGCGAAGGCGAUUCUCUGGACUGUAACUGACGCUGAGGCGCGAGAGCGUGGGGAGCAAACAGG